GUUUUCGACCCAGCUGCUCCUGCAAAACCAAAGCAUCAGAAACAUGAGUGAUAUCCAAUAGGAUCUCGACACUUGAUCAACAUGUGGAGAUGUGGUCACCAUAGUCCCCACUUGGUGCAUAGGAUGGGGCAAAUCUUGUAACAAUCCCCAAGAGAUAAACUGGGAUUGAGGAACAGAAUGAAAGAUGAGAAAUGGUGCAUUGUACUGUCAUAGCAACUCUAUCACCGAAUAGUUGUAAUAACAGGAAUCAAUCACUGUACAGCAUCCAGUCAUGGUGUGGGAAUAAAAAUAUUUCAACAUG